AUACGGAGGAUCCAAGCGUUAUCCGGAAUCAUUGGGUUUAAAGAGUUCGUAGGCGGGUCAAUAAGUCAGAGGUGAAAUCUUGCAGCUUAACUGUAAAAUUGCCUUUGAAACUGUUGACCUUGAAUUACUGUGAAGUGGUUAGAAUAUGUAGUGUAGCGGUGAAAUGCUUAGAGAUUACAUAGAAUACCGAUUGCGAAGGCAGAUCACUAACAGUAUAUUGACGCUGAUGAACGAAAGCGUGGGUAGUGAACGGGAUUAGAAACCCCGGUAGUCC
rnacentral:rRNA from 1 species